UAAAAGUUAACUCUUUGUAUGGAGUUGAAACCUUUGCCUACGUUUGCCGCUAGGGGCGCUUUUCCAACUGCAUACAAAUUUGAGUUA
rfam:Bombyx mori DNA, contig: Bm_scaf61_contig29079, strain: p50T/Dazao, build 2, whole genome shotgun sequence.